rnacentral:rRNA from 1 species
UAAUAGCGUAUAUUAAAGUUGUUGCAGUUAAAAAGCUCGUAGUUGAAUGUUGGUGCCGCCCGAGUGACCGGCUUCGGUCGUGUCGCGUGGGUGGCUCCUUCCUUCUGUGGACAGCGCCACUCUUUACUGAGGGGCGUGUGGUCGCAGAUCUUUUACUGUGAAAAAAUUAGAGUGUUCAAAGCAGGCCAUUCGCUUGAAUACAUUAGCAUGGAAUAAUGGAAUAGGACGUCGGGCCUAUUUUGUUGGUUCUAGGACCGUCGUAAUGAUUAAUAGGGACAGUUGGGGCCGUUCAUAUUCCGUAGUCAGAGGUGAAAUUCUUGGAUUUACGGAAGAUGAACUACUGCGAAAGCAUUCGGCAAGGAUGUUUNCGUUAA